CACAGAGGUGGCAAGCGUUGUUCGGAAUUACUGGGCGUAAAGGGCGCGUAGGCGGUUCGUUAAGUCCUGUGUGAAAUCCCCGGCUCAACUGGGAACUGCACAGGAAACUAGCGGGCUUGAGUUCGGGAGAGGGAAGCGGAAUUCCUGGUGUAGCGGUGAAAUGCGUAGAGUAUCAGGAGGAAUACCGGUGGUGUAGACGGCUCUCUGGACCGCCACUGACGCUGAGACACGAAAGCGU
rnacentral:rRNA from 1 species